UUUCAAAAUCUCUAACAUGAUAGGGUAUUUAUAAUACUCCUAUCCUACACCUACUAAACUAAUAAAUAACCAAAUCCUAAUAUACUAAUGAAAUCCUUGACCCAAUUGUACUAGGGUAAGGUUACAAAAUUAUAAUCCAAAUAGAAUGAUGAAACACAUAACCUAAUUGCACUAGGUUAAUGUAUUAUGGCAAAAAUCC
rnacentral:lncRNA from 1 species